UCACACCGUUCCACUGUUUACAAACAAAUCCGGUGCCGUGAUGGUGCUUUCCCAUCAUUAAUUUGCAAGUUUUUUAGGGCAAAAAAGGGUCUGUGAAGGUCAAUGGUUGGUGGUUGGUGGAAAUAACUUAUACGGAUUUGCGCGAAUGACAACGUGCCUGGACGUUUGCGCAACACGAGCUAGUUUACGCCACCGGUUGUUUGAUUUCGGAGCGGCCGGCUACUUUACCAUCCACAUCCAAGAUGUAUCACCGGAAUCUGGCCCAUCUGAAUCCGUACGAGCUGCACAAGCAUCUGAUCAACGAGUACAUGCUCACGAAGCCGGGUGCAACGAAGCUGCUGCAGCGUGAUACGUCCCGCGACAAAACGGACCACGAUGUAGUGCGCGAGAAUCACCGGUUUCUGUGGGAUGACGAAACGGUGGACAGCUGGGAGAAGCAGCUGGCCAAGAAGUACUACGAUAAGCUGUUCCGCGAGUACUGCAUAGCGGACCUGAGCCGGUACAAAGAGAACAAGGUUGCUAUGCGGUGGAGAAUCGAGAAGGAGGUGGUUGUCGGCAAGGGACAGUUCGUUUGCGGCGAUCGGCACUGCGAGGAGCGGAACGAGCUGCGCAGCUGGGAGGUCAACUUUGGCUACCAGGAGCAUGGGCAGAAAAAGAACGCACUGGUUAAGCUGCGCCUUUGUCCCAAAUGUUCCGACAAACUUAACUAUCACUCGAAAAAGAGGGAAAUCAAACGGCUGAAAAAACGAGAUCGUAAAGCAAAAUCUUCCAGUGGCGGUAGGAGGGUAAGCGAUGAUGCUGUUUCCUCAAGUAGCGUGGCUGCGCCUACUCAGGAAGGCACAUUUGUCGCCACGGCAACACAGGAAAGCACCGUACCGGAGGAAGUACCGGAAGCGGUAGGUGAACAAGAUGGUUCCUGUGCACCGGAAGUUGCUGGAGGAAGUUGGACGAAGGGCCAUGAAGUGGAAGAAAAGACACGUGAGGAAGAGUUUGACGAGUUUUUGGAGGAUCUUUUGCUUUAAUCUACGAUCGUCGCGUGCAAGCAGGCAUUAAACAAACGAUACUGUGUGCUACUAUUUUUAAGAUCGUAGUCGAGCUCUGUUUAAGCAUGUUUGGGAAAUAUAAUAACGCCUGUGGUGUUUUCGAAGUUAUUUCAGUUUAAUCGCAACAGUUUGCAUUUUGGCUGUUAUGCGUGCUGUGUGAUGUGUUGUUCAGUUUAAGAAACUUUUUUAAAAUAAAUUAUGGUUCCUAAAUGAUCUUGGAUUGCUUAGUAGUUACUUAAACAAUACUUUGCACAUUUUUACCAAACCAAUUCUUCAGUCAGGACCUUUCUGAAAUCCGAGAAUGAGUUGGGGAUUUCCUCAGCUCCGUCCAUGGGUAAGCAAUGUGCGUCAAUGUGGGGAUUUCAAAAUGUCAAUGUAGGUCAAGCAAUUGUUCGAAACAUAAUUUUCGUUAACAAAUCCAAUUGCCAGUCGUAAUUUUUCCCCAGCUGAGACCUAGCCUAACAUGGCUGAUUAUGCUCAACCAGCAUCGCCAACGGCGGCAAUAUAAGCGUCAAGUGAGAGAAUGUUAGUAAGAAGUGAAAUGUACGAUUGUAUUGUGCUUUACAUCAAAACCGGUUACAAUCCGUACUUAUCAACGAUUCGCGAAAUCCUUACCGCGUUAGUUUGCUUUAACUGCUCGAUCGAUGCACAUCAACGGAGUGGCACAAAAAGCACAAUGAAAGUUUUAUUAUUCUGUAUUGUUAUCUCACUCACCACGCUCAUUGCUUCCGGGCAAGACAUUGAAGAAGAACUGAGAUGUCCCGGUGGGUACUGCGUUUCGAAGUA